rnacentral:rRNA from 1 species
UACGUAGGGGGCAAGCGUUGUCCGGAUUUAUUGGGCGUAAAGAGCGUGUAGGCGGCCAUGCAGGUCCGCUGUGAAAGUCCAGGGCUCAACCCUGGAAUGCCGGUGGAAACUGUCGGGCUAGAGUCCGGAAGAGGCGAGUGGAAUUCCUGGUGUAGCGGUGAAAUGCGCAGAUAUCAGGAGGAACACCAAUGGCGAAGGCAGCUCGCUGGGACGGUACUGACGCUGAGACGCGAAAGCGUGGGGAGCAAACAGG